rnacentral:tRNA from 1 species
GCGGGUGUAGCUCAGUGGUAGAGCACAAGCUUCCCAAGCUUGGUGUCGAGGGUUCGAUUCCCUUCACCCGCUCCA